UUACUUACCUGGCAGGGAAGAUACCAUGAUCACGAAGGGGUUUUUCCCAGGGUGAGGCUUAUCCAUUGCACUCCAGAUGUGCUGACCCCUGCGAUUUCCCCAAAUGUGGGAAACGCGACUGCAUAUUUUGUGAUAGUGGGGCACUACGUUCACGCUCUCCCCUG
rnacentral:snRNA from 1 species